GUGACCUUUAGGUCACAUCUGUAGAAAGCGGGACUACAAAACCCGGUAUUGACGAACAGUAACCGUAUAAAGAGGCAUUUAUGCAUGGGUAAGCACCACAUCAUUGUAAAGCCCAAAGAAUACCAAAAGUGCAUUAAUGUAGAUACAGCAGGGAUCGGGGGAAAGAAGAUGCU
rfam:Leeuwenhoekiella marinoflava DSM 3653 genome assembly, contig: EJ63DRAFT_scaffold00008.8